AUCCAGCUGAUGAGUCUCAAAGUGGACGAAACGCGAGUCCUGCAU
rfam:Schistosoma rodhaini strain Burundi genome assembly, scaffold: SROB_scaffold0005190